AUUGGGCGUAAAGGGUGCGUAGGUGGCAGAUCAAGUCUGGAGUAAAAGGUAUGGGCUCAACCCGUACUGGCUCUGGAAACUGAUCAGCUAGAGAACAGAAGAGGACGGCGGAACUCCAUGUGUAGCGGUAAAAUGCGUAGAUAUAUGGAAGAACACCGGUGGCGAAGGCGGCCGUCUGGUCUGGAUUCUGACACUGAAGCACGAAAGCGUGGGGAGCAGAUAGGAUUAGAUACCCUAGUAGUCCACGCCGUAAACGAUGAGAACUAGGUGUUGGGGGAAUAACUCAGUGCCGCAGUUAACGCAGUAAGUUCUCCGCCUGGGGAGUAUGCACGCAAGUGUGAAACUCAAAGGAAUUGACGGGGGCCCGCACAAGCGGUGGAGUAUGUGGUUUAAUUCGAAGCAACGCGAAGAACCUUACCAGGCCUUGACAUCCCUUGCAGAGGUAUAGAGAUAUAUCCGAGGCUAUCAAGGAGACAGGUGGUGCAUGGUUGUCGUCAGCUCGUGUCGUGAGAUGUUGGGUUAAGUCCCGCAACGAGCGCAACCCUUGUGAUAUGUUACUAACAUUGAGUUGAGGACUCAUAUCAGACUGCCGGUGAUAAACCGGAGGAAGGUGGGGAUGACGUCAAAUCAUCAUGCCCCUUAUGGCCUGGGCUACACACGUACUACAAUGGCGUCUACAAAGAGUGGCGAACCUGUGAAGGCAAGCGAAUCUCAUAAAGGGCGUCUCAGUUCGGAUUGAAGUCUGCAACCCGACUUCAUGAAGCUGGAAUCGCUA
rnacentral:rRNA from 1 species